AGACACAAAGAGCUCCCUCUCAGUGUCUCAGGGCUGGUGCUGUUAGCGGGACACGUCCUUGGAAUGCAGCCAGCUGUGGUCACAGCUGAAGGGCCAGAGAUGGUGCUGGGCUCUCUGCUCACAGCCCAUGAGGACAGCAAGGACCUGGGAGAGCUGUGAGGUUCUUCCCAGAAAGGACCCACACUACAAUCUCUGAAAAAACAAGCACAUAGCCCUGUUCUGUGCUGCAGUCCCUCCUAACAAGAAUGCAACUGCCACCACCUAAAGGAUGACUUGAGCCUUCAGCUGCUCUCUGCCUUUAGUCCAGCAGAGCUGCCACCCCUGGUGCAGCUGAGCCGUGUGGCUCUUGCUGAGUCCCACAUUUUGUGCCCCACCGUCCACUUACCCUGAGCAUGUGCACCCUGUGCUUCCUGUAUGUGAUGCUGCUACCGCCCCUUUGCUGUGUAUCGGAUGAGCUUUGCCAGAUGAAUUACCAGCUCUGCCUGCCACAUACGGCACUGGAGAGAAAAUCAAGAUGUAUAUAUAGGAGAAUUUGCUGUCCUGCAUACAUCAGCAGCCAGUGCAGCAUCCCCUCACGUUCCGUGUGGCCCACGGAGGAUGAACAUGUCAGCCAAAGUCAACUGAUGCCAUCUGUAACUGCAAAACUGCAAAUAUGCCAGUGUGAGCGGACAAGAAAGCCAAGGCAUAUCCAUUGUUGGCAACAGAGUCUUCACUGUGAAAAUCCAUCCUGUGAGUCUCAGAAAGUUGCAUAUACAGUAACAGAUGAACAACAGCGACCAUCUGUAACUGAUUACCUUAAUUACUGGGCUAGCCUAACUGUGGUAAUGUUCAAAAAUUAGUCUCAUUCACCUAGAAGUUGAGUGGCCAUUAACUGUGAAGUGAUUACUGGGCUAUUAAAGGUUACUCCUCAGGGAGCUAUUUUUAACAAAACUGUGCACUUCUGUGUCAUAAAUGAUCAGCUCACUUGAGCAAAACAUGCCAGCUCUAAGAAGAGAGGAUUGGAAGGUCCUCUGAUGGCUUGGCCAAGGUCAAAGACUGCUUGUCUUUUGGGCAAAGGAAGGGAACUCUGUACAUUUAGAAAAGGUCUGAAGUCUUCUCACCUAAUUGCAUGAUGUGUAGAUGUACACAUCAUGAUUCAGCAAAGUAUUAACAGAUUACAAUCAAGAGAGGUACUCUAUGUUAAUCUAAUCUAACCAACUCCUAAACUAAUGCCACCAGGCAUCCCUGAAUUCCAAUAGCUGCUCCAAAACCUUUUUUGGCAAUGUAUCCAAUCUGAACUUACUCGGUGACAGAGUUUUCAUUCCAAGCCAUGGCAAAUUGUUCUACUUGGCAGUGACUGUUACUGUCAGCAAUUCACACCUUUAUUUUUAUGCUGUAUAUACAUACCUAGCAUCAACCUCCAUAGGAUCUUACCAGAUUCUUCUCCUCCUGACUCUCAAACUUCUGUUUCCCAGAAGUAGUUACUUACAAACCGUGGUCAAGCUGCUUAUUUGAUAAGCUUUUUUUUUUUUUUUAAUAUAUUUGUGACAUUCAAAUGUUUUAAUUUCUCAAUGUUCUUUACAGCAUGUGAAUACAAAAACUGUCUGAAAUAUUCCCGCUUGCACCAGUGCUAAGAACACAGAUCAUAAAACCUUCACUCCUUCCUGUAUUCCCGUAUCUAUCAUUAGUUAAAAAGACACAGUGACCUCCACAUCUUCAACUAAUGACCUUGAGAGGCUUUCUAGAAAUGCCUGGAGCAGGAAUAUCAUUUUCGUUCCUGGACAAAUGAUCUUACAUCAGUGUUUUUGUGUGAGUGCCUUUCAUGUCGUUUAUUUGUACUCAACACACCAGUCUGCUUGUAUUCACGACCUUCUACGUAGUAUUUCCCACCUUCAAAUUCUAUGAGUGUCUCAUCCGUCAGUUUGAUCAACAGUAAUUCUAUUGGCACGCUGGUAAUUCAUGACCAGAUUGUGCAGAACCUUAGGAAAAAAAUAUUCAUGUAGCAAUGGCUUGCCGUUUAUGAUUCCAUUUCAAGUGCUUAGCAGGAUUUUGAUUAACUGCUUUUAUACUAUAUAAUAAUUCUGUAGAUUUUGCCACAGUUAAAAUACUUUGUCAUGUCAGAUGACUUCUGAAAAACCAAACCCAUUAAACUAUUAAAUGAACUUUAUCUGUUGAACAUGGAGCUUCACUGAAGUAUACUCUGCAAAAACCCUUAGG